UUGAACCAGAGGGCAAAUUUUCCUUCCCCUGAACAAUUUCUGUGAUGGAAGGAACAUGGGGGGGCUUUUAAACAGACACUAAAUGGUGGUUACUGGGAAGGACUGCUGGGAACUGAGAUAUGUGGACUAUCUUCUAUGGUUGAUUUGCUGUUAUUAUAAGGUCUGGGCUACACUCUCCACUAAAGAAUGCAAUUUACAUAUCAAAAGUGCUUCCUGGACUUCUGCAUCUAUUGUUUUAACAAGGUGCUUUAUACUACAGUAGGGCAGCCAGAGCCCUCCUUUGGCCAUUUAAUGACCAAGCCAGAGGCAAGAUUCAAUUGAAGCAAUUUCAACCCAUUUGUGAGAUUUUCAAGAAGACUACAGUACAGGAGAGGUAGGGGGCUGAGAAAAGAGAAGGUCAAUUCAAGUCCAAGUCUGUAAUAAACAACAAGAUCCUAUGUGAAAUCCCAGCUUCUCAUCUAAAGUUAUUUUGGAAGCUUACUGAAACCACUGAGCUCACAGCAGACAAUGCUCUGUUUGGAAUACUGAGGAACCUCCACCCUUCUGGGAAUUCCCCAUUCCCAGAAUGCUGCCUGUGUAUUGCUCCUUCAUUUAUUGCUCCAGACGAAGUUGAAAUGAAGGGAAAUGGACAAUAAAAUCUUCCUGACAUUAUAAUUAAAUGUGUGACUUGUCAAAACCUUUGUUUAACAGGAUGAGCACGCUUAGCCAGAUCCCAUAUGUGUGUUAAUUAUAGCAAGAAAGCAAACAAAAUGUCAAUAGUUAAAGCAAAUCCUACCAACAGGAAAUGGCUAUCAAGCUGUGAUAAAAUGUUUAUCCGGAAAUGUUUUUACACUAUCCAAAACAUUUCCUGUCUGUAACUUUUUCUUUUUUUUUUUUUUCUUUUGUGGGAGAAAGAAUAUCUGUGGUGCUAGAAAUAGCAUCUUUGCAAGGAAUUAAAUGACAGUGCCUAUAGAAAAUGGCAAUAAUCACAGAUCUAGCUUCUCUCCUGUUUCCUUCUUUGUACACAGCGUGAUGUAACUCUGAAAGAAAAAUGUUUCCAGAAGUUACACAGACAUCACUAAAGUUUGCACAUCACAGAUUAAAAAAUAAUUCAAAGCAGAUUUUUCAUAGGUAAUAUAUAAGAAAUGUAAUCAUAGAGGUAGUGGAACCUUGAUCCUUUGCUCACCGAGACUAGAUAGUGAAACAUUAUUUCUAUUAAAAUAUCUGGAAAAGAUCAAAAGAGAUUAAUUAGGCUGAAAAACAGUACUAUUGAAGGCAUCAAAAGAUGAUACUCAAGGGGAAGAGGAGCCAGAGAUUAUCUGUUGAAAUGCUUACUCAAAAUAAAAACAACAAAGAACUAUAUUCCCAUAAUCAUGAAUUUUCAAAACUAGGAAAAUUCUGAUUUGUUGUAAACAUUAUGGGUAGUAUCAGAAAAUCACAACAGAGCUGGCAUUAGAAUAUAAGCAAAUACUUGUCAGGAUGAACCUAUAAGACAUUACUGAAUAUAGAAGCAUAAUAGACGAUUCUUCCUAAAUUUGUUCUAUCAACCAUAUGACACCUAAAUUGUAGCCUGUUAUUCCAUU